rnacentral:rRNA from 1 species
UACGUAGGGUGCAAGCGUUGUCCGGAAUUAUUGGGCGUAAAGGGCUCGUAGGCGGUCCGUCACGUCGGGAGUGAAAUCCUGGGGCUUAACCCCAGAACUGCUUCCGAUACGGGCAGACUAGAGGUAGGUAGGGGAGGAAUGGAAUUCCUGGUGUAGCGGUGGAAUGCGCAGAUAUCGGAAGGAACGCCGGUGGCCGAAAGCGACGUGCUGGACCCCUUCUGACGCUGAGGCGGCGAAAGCCAGGGGAGCAAACGG